UCUCGCUGGCCCUUGAAAAUCCGGGGGAGAAGGUGUAAAUCUCACUACCCAUAUCCGCAGCAGGUCUCCAAGGUGAACAGCCUCUGGCAUGUUAGAACAAGGCAAUUAAGGGAAGUCGGCAAGUCAGAUAUGUAACUUCGGGAUGAGGAUUGGCUCUAAGAGAUCGGAAC